AAUGAACGUUGGCGGCGUGGAUUAGGCAUGCAAGUCGAGCGCGAAUCAGUCUUCGGACUGAGGAGAGCGGCGAACGGGGUAGGAAUACCUCGGUGACGUACCCCCGGGUCGGGGAUAGCGGCGGGAAACUGCCGGUAAUACCCGAUAAUCUUCCCAAGUCUUACGGCAGGGGAAGCAAAGGUGUGAUUCCGUCUGGGGAGCGGCUGAGGUCGUAUUAGCUGGUUGGUGAGGUAAUGGCUCACCAAGGCGAUGAUGCGUAGGGGGUGUGAGAGCAUGGCCCCCACCACUGGCACUGAGACACUGGCCAGACACCUACGGGUGGCUGCAGUCGAGAAUCUUCGGCAAUGGGCGCAAGCCUGACCGAGCGACGCCGCGCGCGGGAUGAAGGUCUUCGGAUUGUAAACCGCUGUCGGAGGGGAUGAAAUGCAUGGGGGAACUCCCCUGU
rnacentral:rRNA from 1 species